GUACCGAUGUCCGAGUGGUUAAGGAGUUUGACUCGAAAUGAAAUGCGCUCUGCCCGCAUAGGUUCGAAUCCUGUUCUCUGCG
rnacentral:tRNA from 1 species